rnacentral:rRNA from 1 species
AACGCUGGCGGCGUGCUUAACACAUGCAAGUCGAACGAAGCACUUUAACCUGAUUCUUCGGAUGAAGGUUUUUGUGACUGAGUGGCGGACGGGUGAGUAACGCGUGGGUAACCUGCCUCAUACAGGGGGAUAACAGUUAGAAAUGACUGCUAAUACCGCAUAAGACCACAGAGCCGCAUGGCUCAGUGGGAAAAACUCCGGUGGUAUGAAAUGGACCCGCGUCUGAUUAGGUAGUUGGUGGGGUAACGGCCUACCAAGCCAACGAUCAGUAGCCGACCUGAGAGGGUGACCGGCCACAUUGGGACUGAGACACGGCCCAAACUCCUACGGGAGGCAGCAGUGGGGAAUAUUGCACAAUGGGGGAAACCCUGAUGCAGCGACGCCGCGUGAGCGAAGAAGUAUUUCGGUAUGUAAAGCUCUAUCAGCAGGGAAGAAAAUGACGGUACCUGACUAAGAAGCACCGGCUAAAUACGUGCCAGCAGCCGCGGUAAUACGUAUGGUGCAAGCGUUAUCCGGAUUUACUGGGUGUAAAGGGAGCGUAGACGGCUGUGUAAGUCUGAAGUGAAAGCCCGGGGCUCAACCCCGGGACUGCUUUGGAAACUAUGCAGCUAGAGUGUCGGAGAGGUAAGUGGAAUUCCCAGUGUAGCGGUGAAAUGCGUAGAUAUUGGGAGGAACACCAGUGGCGAAGGCGGCUUACUGGACGAUGACUGACG